UGUCCGUGAAGAAUCCCCGCGAUGUGGAAAAUACAUGCCGAGCAGUCAUUGGUACGCGCGGUCGUAAAAUCUGAGUUUUGCGUGCAAAGGGCAUGCGGACGUCCGCCUUUAGCCCGCGCGGACCUCCGCGGAGUCCGUUCCGCGUACGUUCCGCCCGAGUAUGUUCGGCCAGCGCAUAUGGCAGACGAUCGAGACAGACACAGGAGGACAAAUAACUGGCAUAUGCCAGAGAGAAGGACCAAAAAGGAAUCACUGAUAUAUGCUAGAGGGCUCUGAUAGAAAAAAACUGUCAUGUCGGAUGACACAAGAAGCCACAGAGCCGGACACACCUCCAGAGGACACCAUGCAUACAGGAUUUAGUAGUGUCUGACAGCUCACCAUGUCUCCCGGCCUGUCAGCAAACCCUCCCGUCUCCUCGUCUUGACAGGCCAGAAUAAACGAUCGCAGCUUGGCCUUGUCGAUCCAGUGGAUCCUGCCGAUGAUUUUCAGUGACGCCAAAACCCACCACGAGUAGCACACAUCUGGAAGCUGGGUGAGACAAAGAAAACCAGAGCUGGAUGAAAGAGAAACUCCCACAGCGACCACUCUAUAAGUACAUCAGAGGACUCACCUGACCCGCAUGAGACUCUGAACCAGGUCUGCAGCCAAAACCUCCGUCAAAGUUCAUACAGGACAAGACGAAUUCUACAG